AACGAACGCUGGCGGCAUGCCUAACACAUGCAAGUCGAACGUGAAGCAUCCUUCGGGAUGUGGAAAGUGGCGCACGGGUGAGUAACGCGUGGGAACCUGCCUAGAAGUUCAGAAUAACCAUUGGAAACGAUGGCUAAUACUGGAUACGCCCUUCGGGGGAAAGAUUUAUCGCUUCUAGAUGGGCCCGCGUCCGAUUAGAUAGUUGGUGGGGUAAUGGCCUACCAAGUCUGCGAUCGGUAG
rnacentral:rRNA from 1 species